rnacentral:rRNA from 1 species
UACGUAGGUGGCGAGCGUUUGUCCGGAGUUACUGGGCGUAAAGGGUGUGUAGGCGGUUGCUUAAGUUUGGUGUGAAAUCUCCCGGCUCAACCGGGAGGGUGCGCCGAAUACUGAGUGACUAGAGUGCGGGAGAGGAAAGUGGAAUUCCUGGUGUAGCGGUGAAAUGCGUAGAUAUCGGAAGGAACACCUGUGGCGAAAAGCGGCUCACUGGACCAUUACUGACGCUGAGGCACGAAAGCUAGGGGAGCAAACAGG